AGAGCAGGAGAAGAGGCCAGCCUUCUGGAGCAAGGGCAGAGGAGUCCAGAGGACUGAGGCACAUGGUUUGCAUAGUUACAGAGGAAAGGAAAGCCAUCAUCCUGCCAUGGGAAGGGACCUGUGAGCUCCAUCUUCUCAGCCAGGUGGCCUGUCCAUAUCACGGUGGCUCUGGCACCAUGAGCAAAAGAUGAAGUGGCAAUAGCUCUGGGGUCUUUUAUUCACAUUAUAGAAAAGUGUUUAGCAUGCUGCAGAACCCAGAAAUCCAUGUGUGUGUGGUGCACCAUGAUAUUUCACCACACAGGUGAAUAGAGGGACCUGCGUGC
rnacentral:lncRNA from 1 species